GAGAAGGGGGGGGCGUGGGGCGCGUGGAGGGACGAGGAGGGCGGUGGCGCGGCGUGCCCCAGCCUGGCCCCUCGCCCUCCCCCAGGUGUGUACACCUGCAGCGGGCCCACCUCCCCCGGGCACCUCAGGGAAGGGGGCAGGUGAGGGACUCGCCUGCAGCUCCCCCGGCCUGAAGCAACUCCAUCCUCUCCUGCAGCUGCCGGACGUGCGCCUCCAGGUCACGGUUCCGAGCCUGGGCCUCGCGGAGUUGACUGCGGGGAGGUGAGGGCUGGGAGUCCUUGAGGUAAAGAUGGUGACUGCCCCAGGGCCCCGACCCCGACCUGGCGAAGUUCUGGUUGGCCUUAUGGAUGGCCGCUAGCUCCUGGCUCAGGCUCUGCCGGGUCAGCACCUCCUCCUCCAGGGCCUCCUGGAGCUCCCGCAGCGUCACCUCCGGCUCUGCCACCGCCUCCUGAAUGGUCUCCGGAACUGCCGCUUCAGCCUGGGUCACGUAGCCCCCUCCUCCAGGAAGCCCUCCAGGACCUUUCAUGCUGCAUCAGGAGGCGUGCCCCCUGCACCUCCCCGCCCGUCUCAGCCCUGAUCUCUCUGGGGCGUCACUGUCAGGGACAAGUCUGGGUCUCCCACUGGACUGUGAGUCUAGGUCACUGCUGGCUUCCUAGUACUCAGCCCCCGUAGAGCAGGGGUUCUGGGGAAGCAGUGAUUU
rnacentral:lncRNA from 1 species